rnacentral:rRNA from 1 species
UGGAUCCAGACUUUGAUCAUGGCUCAGGAUGAACGCUGGCGGCGUGCUUAACACAUGCAAGUCGAGCGGAACUCUUUUGAUUGAGGCUUCGGCCAAAUGAUUCUGAGUUUAGUGGCGGACGGGUGAGUAACGCGUGAGUAACCUGCCUUGGAGUGGGGAAUAACGGCUGGAAACGGUCGCUAAUACCGCAUGAAGCAUUGAGAUCGCAUGGUUUUAAUGCCAAAGAUUUAUCGCUCUGAGAUGGACUCGCGUCUGAUUAGCUAGUUGGUGAGGUAACGGCCCACCAAGGCGACGAUCAGUAGCCGGACUGAGAGGUUGACCGGCCACAUUGGGACCGAGACACGGCCCAGACUCCUACGGGAGGCAGCAGUGGGGAAUAUUGGGCAAUGGGCGCAAGCCUGACCCAGCAACGCCGCGUGAAGGAAGAAGGCUUUCGGGUUGUAAACUUCUUUUAUCAGGGACGAUAAUGACGGUACCUGAUGAAUAAGCUCCGGCUAACUACGUGCCAGCAGCCGCGGUAAUACGUAGGGAGCAAGCGUUAUCCGGAUUUACUGGGUGUAAAGGGCGUGUAGGCGGGACUGCAAGUCAGAUGUGAAAACUAUGGGCUUAACCCAUAGCCUGCAUUUGAAACUGUAGUUCUUGAGUGGUGGAGAGGCAAAUGGAAUUCCUAGUGUAGCGGUGAAAUGCGUAGAUAUUAGGAAGAACACCAGUGGCGAAGGCGAUUUGCUGGACACUAACUGACGCUGAGGCGCGAAAGCGUGGGGAGCAAACAGGAUUAGAUACCCUGGUAGUCCACGCCGUAAACGAUGGAUACUAGGUGUGGGGGGUCUGACCCCCUCCGUGCCGCAGUUAACACAAUAAGUAUCCCACCUGGGGAGUACGAUCGCAAGGUUGCAACUCAAAGGAAUUGACGGA